rnacentral:rRNA from 1 species
CCAGACUCCUACGGGAGGCAGCAGUGAGGAAUAUUGGUCAAUGGGCGCGAGCCUGAACCAGCCAAGUCGCGUGAGGGAAGACGGUCCUAUGGAUUGUAAACCUCUUUUGUCGGGGAGCAAAAGACGCCACGUGUGCGGUUUGGAGAGUACCCGGAGAAAAAGCAUCGGCUAACUCCGUGCCAGCAGCCGCGGUAAUACGGAGGAUGCGAGCGUUAUCCGGAUUUAUUGGGUUUAAAGGGUGCGUAGGCGGAGUGUCAAGUCAGCGGUAAAAUUUCGGGGCUCAACCCCGUCGUGCCGUUGAAACUGACGCCCUUGAGUGAGUGAGAAGUAAGCGGAAUGCGUGGUGUAGCGGUGAAAUGCAUAGAUAUCACGCAGAACUCCGAUUGCGAAGGCAGCAUACCGGCGCCCAACUGACGCUGAAGCACGAAAGCGUGGGUAUCGAACAGGAUUAGAUACCCUCGUAU